rnacentral:rRNA from 1 species
CGCUUUGUGGUUCAACUGAUUUGAAGAGCUUGCUCAGAUAUGACGAUGGACAUUGCAAAGAGUGGCGAACGGGUGAGUAACACGUGGGAAACCUACCUCUUAGCAGGGGAUAACAUUUGGAAACAGAUGCUAAUACCGUAUAACAAUGACAACCGCAUGGUUGUUAUUUAAAAGAUGGUUCUGCUAUCACUAAGAGAUGGUCCCGCGGUGCAUUAGCUAGUUGGUAAGGUAAUGGCUUACCAAGGCGAUGAUGCAUAGCCGAGUUGAGAGACUGAUCGGCCACAAUGGGACUGAGACACGGCCCAUACUCCUACGGGAGGCAGCAGUAGGGAAUCUUCCACAAUGGGCGAAAGCCUGAUGGAGCAACGCCGCGUGUGUGAUGAAGGGUUUCGGCUCGUAAAACACUGUUGUAAGAGAAGAAUGACAUUGAGAGUAACUGUUCAAUGUGUGACGGUAUCUUACCAGAAAGGAACGGCUAAAUACGUGCCAGCAGCCGCGGUAAUACGUAUGUUCCAAGCGUUAUCCGGAUUUAUUGGGCGUAAAGCGAGCGCAGACGGUUAUUUAAGUCUGAAGUGAAAGCCCUCAGCUCAACUGAGGAAUUGCUUUGGAAACUGGAUGACUUGAGUGCAGUAGAGGAAAGUGGAACUCCAUGUGUAGCGGUGAAAUGCGUAGAUAUAUGGAAGAACACCAGUGGCGAAGGCGGCUUUCUGGACUGUAACUGACGUUGAGGCUCGAAAGUGUGGGUAGCAAACAGGAUUAGAUACCCUGGUAGUCCACACCGUAAACGAUGAGUGCUAGGUGUUUGAGGGUUUCCGCCCUUAAGUGCCGCAGCUAACGCAUUAAGCACUCCGCCUGGGGAGUACGACCGCAAGGUUGAAACUCAAAGGAAUUGACGGGGACCCGCACAAGCGGUGGAGCAUGUGGUUUAAUUCGAAGCAACGCGAAGAACCUUACCAGGUCUUGACAUCCCUUGACAACUCCAGAGAUGGAGCGUUCCCUUCGGGGACAAGGUGACAGGUGGUGCAUGGUUGUCGUCAGCUCGUGUCGUGAGAUGUUGGGUUAAGUCCCGCAACGAGCGCAACCCUUAUUACUAGUUGCCAGCAUUCAGUUGGGCACUCUAGUGAGACUGCCGGUGACAAACCGGAGGAAGGUGGGGAUGACGUCAAAUCAUCAUGCCCCUUAUGACCUGGGCUACACACGUGCUACAAUGGCGUAUACAACGAGUUGCCAACCCGCGAGGGUGAGCUAAUCUCUUAAAGUACGUCUCAGUUCGGAUUGUAGGCUGCAACUCGCCUACAUGAAGUCGGAAUCGCUAGUAAUCGCGGAUCAGCACGCCGCGGUGAAUACGUUCCCGGGUCUUGUACACACCGCCCGUCACACCAUGAGAGUUUGUAACACCCAAAGCCGGUGGGGUAAC